rnacentral:lncRNA from 1 species
AAAAAACGGGAAGUCCAUUUGGGACUAGUAUUGAAGGUUGACAAUCAGAUAUGUAAAACAUACUCUAUACCAUAUCCUUGGUAUGAAAGUGAACAAUUGUUCUAUUAAGAAAGUUUUCAAAGUUAUUCAAUAACAUGUGAUCCAUAAUGGUUUUAUAUGAUGUCCUACGUUACCAAUGAACUUGUUUCCACCCUACAAGAUGUCAAGACAUUCCAAUACUUA